rnacentral:rRNA from 1 species
UACGUAGGGUGCAAGCGUUGUCCGGAAUUAUUGGGCGUAAAGCGCGCGCAGGCGGUUCUUUUAAGUCUGGUGUCUAAGUGCGGGGCUCAACCCCGUGUCGCACUGGAAACUGGGGAACUUGAGUGCAGAAGAGGAGAGCGGAAUUCCACGUGUAGCGGUGAAAUGCGUAGAGAUGUGGAGGAACACCAGUGGCGAAGGCGGCUCACUGGCCCGAUACUGACGCUGAGGCACGAAAGCGUGGGGAGCAAACAGG